ACGAACGUUGGCGGCGUGGAUUAGGCAUGCAAGUCGAACGCUGCUCGGAGGGGCAACUCUCCGGGCGGAGUGGCGAACGGGUGAGUAGCGCGUGGGAAACCUGCCCUCGAGUUGGGGACAACCUUCCCAACGGGAGGCUAAUACCGAAUGUGGUCACUGGGAGGCAUCUCCCGGCGACUGAAGGUGGGGACCCGAAAGGGCCUGCCGCUCGAGGAUGGUCCCGCGUCCCAUUAGCUAGUUGGUAGGGUAACGGCCUACCAAGGCUACGAUGGGUUGCUGGUCUGAGAGGACGACCAGCCACACUGGGACUGAGAUACGGCCCAGACUCCUUCGGGAGGCAGCAGUCGAGAGGCUUCGGCAAUGGGGGAAACCCUGACCGAGCGACGCCGCGUGGGGGAUGAAGGCUCUUGGGUCGUAAACCCCUGUCAAGCGGGACGAAAUGCUCUGAGGCAAUAAGCCGAGGGGCCUGACGGUACCUACAGAGGAAGCUCCGGCUAACUCCGUGCCAGCAGCCGCGGUAAUACGGAGGGAGCAAGCGUUAUUCGGAAUUAUUGGGCGUAAAGGGCGUGUAGGCGGCCGUGCAAGUCGGGGGUGAAAUCCACUGGCUCAACCAGUGACGUGCCUUCGAAACUGCUCGGCUUGAGUACGGCAGAGGGAAGCGGAAUUCCAGGUGUAGCGGUGGAAUGCGCAGAUAUCAGGAAGAACACCGGUGGCGAAGGCGGCCAACUGGGCCUGUACUGACGCUGAGGCGCGAAAGCCAGGGGAGCGAACGGGAUUAGAUACCCCGGUAGUCCUGGCUGUAAACGAUGGGUACUAGAUGUAGGAGGUAUCGACCCCUUCUGUGCCGCAGCUAACGCAUUAAGUAUCCCGCCUGGGGAGUACGACCGCAAGGUUGAAACUCAAAGGAAUUGACGGGGGCCCGCACAAGCGGUGGAGCAUGUGGUUUAAUUCGACGCAACGCGAAGAACCUUACCGGGGCUUGACAUGCACAGGACAGGCGUAGAAAUACGCCCUCCUUUCGGGGUCUGUGCACAGGUGCUGCAUGGCUGUCGUCAGCUCGUGUCGUGAGAUGUUGGGUUAAGUCCCGCAACGGGCGCAACCCCUAUCCUUAUUUGCCAUCAUUAAGUUGGGCACUAUAAGGAGACUGCCGGUGUUAAACUGGAGGAAGGUGGGGACGACGUCAAGUCAUCAUGGCCCUUAUGCCCAGGGCUACACACGUGCUACAAUGGAUGAUACAGAGGGUUGCCAACUCGCGAGAGGGAGCUAAUCUCAGAAAGUCAUCCUUAGUUCGGAUUGGAGUCUGCAAUUCGACUCCAUGAAGCCGGAAUCGCUAGUAAUCGCGGAUCAGCAUGCCGCGGUGAAUACGUUCUCGGGCCUUGUACACACCG
rnacentral:rRNA from 1 species